CUUUGUGUAUUUUCUUUCCUUGACAACGGGAGAAAUGUGUUGCACCGUUCCCGGAGGUACUGCAAUACCGGGUCGAUGCGUGGAGCGGACGGAGCAAGCCCCAUUUCCGACUCCCUGUUCGAAAAAUCCAUUUAAUAUGUAGUCCCCCGAUGGGGGACGUAUCAGAUAUUAAACUGAUAAGAACAGAUUUUU